AUACGGAGGGUGCAAGCGUUACUCGGAAUCACUGGGCGUAAAGCGCGCGCAGGCGGUCUUUUAAGUUGGAUGUGAAAGCCUACGGCUCAACCGUAGAACUGCAUCCAAAACUAUUAGACUAGAGUGUGGGAGAGGAAGAUGGAAUUAGUUGUGUAGGGGUAAAAUCCGUAGAGAUAACUAGGAAUACCAAAUGCGAAGGCAAUCUUCUGGAACACUACUGACGCUGAGGCGCGAAAGCGUGGGGAGCAAACAGGAUUAGAAACCCUAGUAGUCC
rnacentral:rRNA from 1 species